rnacentral:rRNA from 1 species
AUCAAUAAGGGGACGAAAGGAAAUGAACUCAGAUGCCUUUAGUAACGGCGAGUGAAAAGGGCAAAGAAGCGGACCCAGAAAUGCUAAUGGACAGCACAGUUUGGGUACGAAGAUGUCGGAUUAGCAAACCGGAGGGUAUAUGUCCUGAAAGGGGGCCUUAUCAUAGGGGGUGACAAUCCUGUGUCCUUUCGAUCGUUCUGCUAGUCCAGUUGUCUUCAACGAUGAGUAUCCUUGCUUGGGAGUGCAAGGAGAAGCCCGUUAUACACCUAACGGAACACUAAAUACAGGCUUGCACAGAUAGCAAACAAGUACCGCGAGGGAAAGUUGAAAAGAACUCUGGAGAGAGAGUGAAACAGUGCAUGAAACGGAAGGCGGGCUAAGCGUAGUUAUCCUUCGGUAGAGUACGGCCUAGCAGUUUGUAAUAUAGUUAAUGACGAUGCUGUAUAGUAUAGUUGGUCAAACGUACCUUAUAGCUUAGUGUUAGUAUCUUAUAUUACAUAUGCAUUGGUCAAUCUCACGGGGAAUGCCCUUGCGGGGCUGGUUCUUUGUGACAUUUUAUACCGCGUUGGUAGUCAACGGAAUUAUUAUUUCCAGUAGUCGAUUGAUCCUCCUUGUUAACAUCAACUUCUACGCUAUCGACGAAAUGGUUCUCUUCAAUGUGCGAGAGUUUGUGAGUCGGGCCAGCCUUCAAGUUUUAAUAUAUAUGAAAACUAUAUAUGGUAUAUACGCGGGGGUGCCGAUCUUAAGCUAUCGGGUCAAUCUAUAUUUAAUCCUGAAUUUCCAUAGAGAAAUUAAUCAGGAGAAUUGUGGUAAUAUAGUUGAUUUCCUUGACGAAAGGGUGGCUACGUCCCGUCUUGAAACACGGACCAAGGAGUGUAUUUUUAAGCCGAGUCAUGGUGCAUUUUAAAGUUGUGCUUAACCGCAUAUCUUCUAGUCAAUUAAUAAUACGCCACGGCGAAGUGAAAGCAAGAUUGAGAAGACGAAAUUCUCUCGACGCCCGUCCGAAAGGGUGGAGCAAGGCUUAAGAAUACGACCCGAAAGAUGGUGAUCUAUGCGUGGGCAGGUUGAACCCUGGGGAAACUCAGGUGGAGGACCGUAGGGGUUCUGGCGUGCAAACCGAUCUCCAGACCUGCGUAUAGGGGCGAAAGACUAAUCGAACCAUCUAGUAGCUGGUUCCUCCCGAAGUUUCCCUCAGGAUAGCUCGAGAUUGACAACAAUAACAUUAUCAGUUGUUCCUGGUAGAGAUAUGAAUAGUGGUCCCGGGGAGACAAGUCUCCUCAACCAUUUCUCAAACUCCGAAUAGGUUCGUCCCACUAUGUUUGUCUGUAACGUCAACAUGUGGAAAUCAAUAUAUAAAAACAAUUGUACCGCCCAUACUUUUGUUAAUAUAUUGUUGUGAUAGGUCUAGAUAUAAUAUAGCGUGGUAACCACAAUAUUUACCAUGUAUAUUAUAUACAUAUAUUUUUAUAUAUAUUUGCCACACAUUUAUAUAUAAAGGGUAUAUGCUAUCACAGUUCAGAAUGUAAUCUCGUAGUGGGCCAUUUUUGGUAAGCAGAACUGGCGAUGAGGGAUGAACCUGACCCUGAGUUAAGAUCGGAAAAUGGAGCUAAUCAGGUACCAAAAAAGGUGUUAUUCGCUUAAGACAUCAGGGCGGUGGCCAUGGAAGUCGGAAUCCGUUAAGGAGUGUGUAACAACUCACCUGACGAAGCGAGUGGCCCUGAAAAUGGACCCGACUCAAGCGAUGCAUCUAGACUCAGGUUGUGACGAUAAUGGCAGGAUGAGGUAUAUUAUAAAGAUUAGUCGCUGCUGUCUAUGCAUAAGUUCUUUAGAGAUUUAAUAUAUAUAAUAACCUCCUCACGCUAUUAUAUAUAAUUAAAGAAUAGAGCGCGUAGUUGUAGUAUGUAGUAUAUGUUGAUGUCGUGAUAAUUAUCAACAGCAUUAAAGGUCAUAAGCGAUUUAACAAUGAGUGUUCUUACUUUGUCAGCACCCGCCAAGUAAUCGAGCCGAGUCAUUUUUUAACGUUUUUCUUUAUUGUAGCACAAGAUUGAUAAUUAGUUGUAUACUAUCCUUUCAUUAGUGUUUGUUGGCGAUUUUUCAGUAUUACACUCUGGCCUUUGUAAUAUACAUAGGUAAUGUUCCUGUUCAGUCACAAUGUAGGGAGGCGUGUGGCUAGGGCUAAAGUGAUUUCGUAAGAGAUUAUCGACCUGGCCAUAGUGCAGAUCUUGGUGGAAGUAGCAACUACUCAAGCGGGAAUCUUGAGGGCCGAAGUAGAGAAGGGUUCCAUGUAAACAGUUUUUGAACAUGGGUUAGUCAGUCCUAAGGGAUGGACCGAAAGGUUAUGAAAAUUCAAUUUCAUAUAUUAUAUGGACAUUUUUAGAUAAAUGCAUCUAAUAUAUGCCUUGAGGUUGAAUCAUUCUCGAAAGGGAAUUCGGUUAAAAUUCCGAAACCAAACUGGAUGAACGAAGGUUAAUGCGUGUUUGUUGAUAAUACAUGUAUAUUUGUAAUAUUUUUUUAUACGUGUGUGGUGAAAAUUCAACCGUUCACCUUGGCUUAUGCAAUUUAACGUCGUUCGGGCGGCAACGUAAUAUUAAGUCUUGACAUAGACAUCCUUGCCCACGGCUGGAGUUUUCGACUCUGGUUAAACUGUUACAGUAAACUUGAAUGCCGUUAUGGCGAGAAAGUUUUAUUGUGCGUCAAUUAUUCUACAUCGAGUGGAACUGUGGGUGAGGUGGAUAUCCUUGAAAAAAUUCAGGCUUAAUCGGGCUAUAUUUUGUUUAUAGGCGCCAGUUAUAUAGUAGAUAUCCCUGCUAUAUAAUGCUUAUAAUAUGGGAUAUAGACAAGGUACUCCAGUUUGACUGUACCCAUUCCGCAUCAGGUCUCUAAGGUUCACAGCCUCUGGCCAUCCGGAUAACGCGGGUAAGGGAAGUCGGCAAAAUGGUGCCGUAACCUAGGAAUAAGGCAUGGCUCUGUACGUCUUAAUGAUAUCAGCUCACUGUUUGAAUCUAGGAUACAUUGAACUUUCGCUCAGCCCACGAUUACGCCAUUAGUUUUUGUAUAGUUUCGUUGCACGAUGGUGUUUGAUAUACGCAAUUUCGGCUGAGCGCAGUGCAUUAACGGUGUUUUACGGGGGGUUGACUGGUUGUUUAGGGCCUAGUGUAUGGAUGGGAGGUUUAACUUUUCAUUUCAUCAUUCGUCUUUGGGUUUCGGGGGUUACAUUAUAUCUUUUUCAGAAAAAUUUAUAAUUUAGGCUGUUUUAUAUUUAGUUAUAUCAUAUGCCUUGGCCUUCUUGGUAUCGUUGAUAUUGGUUUCGAUAUAUUGUUUUAUUUGUUACCCAGAAUCGCAAAUAUUGCAAUCACUGUUGUUACUAAUUGGACAUUGCAGAACUGGCACGGACCAUGGGAAUCCGACUGUCUAAUUAAAACAAAGCAUCGAGAUGGGCGUAAUUAGCUGUUUACUCGAUGUGAUUUCUGCCCAGUGCGCUGAAUGUCAACGUUCAGAAAUGAACUUAAGCUCGCGUAAACGGCGGGAGUAACUAUGACUCUCUUAAGGUAACCAAAUGCCUCGUCAUCUAAUUAGUGACGCGCAUGAAUGGAUUAACGAGAUUCCCACUGUCCCUACCCACAACCGGGCGAACCCACAGCCAGGGGAACGGGCCUGGAUAACACAGCGGGGAAAGAAGACCCUGUUGAGCUUGACUCUAGUUUGGUCUAGGGAGAAGACAGAGGAGGUGUAGGCUAGGAGGGAGACAACGUGCGCUUGCGCAAUGUUAUCGUAUAUGAAAAACCUCCACUCUUCUAGUUUUUUCCCUCACGCGUUUAUAAGGGAUCCUUAGGUCCUUGCUGAUGGACCUGUGGGAAUUACAUGCCUCAAACGUCGAUUAUUAGUCCAACUGCGAUUGUAACCCUAAACGUGGACGGGACCAGAUGGGGAGUUUGACUGGGGCGGUACAUCUGCAAAAAGGUAACGCAGGUGUCCUAAGGGUAGCUCAGGGAUUGGACAGAAACCUCCCGUAGAGCAAAAGGGUAAAAGCUACCUUGAUCCUCUCGUUCAGUACUCGAGAGGACCCUGAAAGGGGGGCCUAUUGAUCCUUUCGUAACCAUUAACAAAUUCCAUAGUCAUUAUCUUUGCGUUCUUCGAUAUAAUAGUAAUAACUAAUUGGAUGCUUAGUAGAGCCGGGGAUAGUCAACAAAUAGCGUCGAACCCACCAUAAUACUACUAAAACGGCACCGACUUGUUUUUAUUAAGCAUAUAUUGUAGUACCUAUAUAGCUCUAUAUAUACAUUUGGAUGUAAGGGAUGUAUAUGCGUCCAUAGGCGUGUGUGGAACUGAAACUGGUUGAUGCGGGAGUUCGAGGUGUAACAAUCUACUCUCUUCUGACAUUAUUAUGCCACUUGCACUUUGGUAAUGUUCUUCCUUAUAUUCCUGUCUCGCAGCAUCAUCACUACGUUCUUGCAUUUCAAGAGAUGGUAUGUGUAUUAUGUCUAUUGGGGAUCAGUUUGAUGGGGGGAAAAUAAGUGUAUGUCAUGUCUAAAAAGCGUAUAAUAUAAUUUAAAAAGAAACACAAUAUAGUACUUUCUUGAUGUGGGCGUCCUGGUUCUUUUCCUUGAGUCAUUCCGCGAAAAUUGGGUAGCGGUAGAAGCGAAGAUUAUAUGUGCUGUGUUUAAUAAGAAUUCUACAGUGACAGCAUCAAUUUUAUAUAUUUUUUAUUAUUGUUAUUGCAGGGAUGUAAAAGGUUUAACCGUGAUAAUGAUUAAAUUCCCUAGCCUCUUUGGUUGUUAGGGUGGAUAGAAUAGGUGUUUCGCGAGAGGUGUCAGAAAAGUUACCACAGGGAUAACUGGCUUGUGGCUGCCAAGCGUUCGUAGCGACGUAGCUUUUUGAUCCUUC